ACUAACGCGCUCACAUGCGCAAAUUUGUGACAUGCACACUCUCAGAACUCGGAUCGACACUUUUUCAGUAGUGCCAAAUUUUGAAACUGAGUUUGCACCCCCUAAGCAAAUUUUGUUCCCGGGCCACUGGUCAGAAGGCCACA